ACAGUGGUGGUUCAGUGGUAGAAUUCUUGCCUACCAUGCAGGAGUCCUGGGUUCCAUUCUCUGCCACUGCA
rnacentral:tRNA from 1 species